AUGCCAUCCUCUGAACAUCAAUGGUGUCACUCCUUAGUGGCUGUUGCACUACCAGAUAUCCUGUGCAGACUGACAAUGUUUGGUGAAAAAGAGGCAUAUUCUCUCACACUGAAUUUGUGAGGAAAACCUUUCCCAGAAGUCAUGUGGCAGCCAUCUCCUCGGAUCCCACUGGCAUGACCAAAUGGCAUGCCGUUCCUAAACCAGCCAUUUCCAAGAGAAUGAGACCACCGGGACUGCCUCAGCCAACUGAAGGGACCCUGUAGAGGGCAGAACCUGAGGACCCAGGCAGAGCCCUGCCCUAAAGGAGGAAGCAGGUGGGGUCGGAAGACAGCGGGGAAAAGGCCUUCAAGACCUAAUCUACAGGAAGUGUUAGAAGAUGCACAAAUCUUAUGGCCAGGGAGUUCCAUAAACACUUCUUGAGGCAACGUGGAGAAGUGGAGAAAACAGGAGCUUUGAUUCAGACAUACCUGGGUCCCGGUGCCGACUCUGCGACUGACUGUGAGCCUGGACAAGUUAUUUGACCUCUCUGAGCUAAGCUAGAGAACCAGAGACAAUAGCACUAAGUGUUCUAAGAAACAAAAUUAUAGGAACUGCUGGGUGAGGGCCUAGCAAAUAGAGGGCGGCCCCGCUACACCUUCCACUGCGGCAGAAACCGCCUCCUCCACCCCACCCCACCCCCAGCGACAUGUUGUUGCAAAGGCCCUCUCUCCUCUGCAACUUGCCUGUCCUGUACUCAGCCCUCCUGGGCUAGUCUCCGAGGCUAUCACACCCUAUCACACCGAUAGCCUGCUCAGGUUGUAAAUCAACUUUGGGAAUAGACCUCGCUCACCUCCUUCCAGGGGAUGGCUGCCCCUAACAGUGGCCUGCAGGGGACAAAGUGCUGAGGGUUUGGGCCAAAUACAGGAGUGAUUCUUGAAGGCAGAA